AAAUAAGAAACAAUUAAUUGUUUUUAGUUUCGACCUAAAGUUAGAUGAAUCUUAUCAUCCUUAUUUU
rnacentral:tRNA from 1 species